UUCAGUUGGAUUACAUCCUGAAUGUGUUAGCUUCAGUUGCAUUACAUCCUGAAUGUGUGAGCCUCAGUUGCAUUACAUACUGAAUAAACGAGCUUCAGAUACAUUACACACUGAAUGUACUAGUUUCUGUCACAUUAGACACUAGAUGAACAAGUUUCAGUUGCAUUACACACUGGAUUUACGAGUUUCUGUUACAUUACGCACUGGAUUAACGAGUUUUUGUUACAGUACACACUGGAUGAACAAAUUUCAGUUGCAUUACACACUGGAUUUACGUGUUUCUAUUAAUUUACACACUGGAUUUACAAGUUUAUCUUACUUUACACACUGGAUUUACAAGUUUCUGUUACAUUACACAGUGGAUUUACGAGUUUCUGUUACAUUACACACUGGAUGAACAAGUUCCAGUUGCAUUUCCUACUAAAUGUUGCACUGUUUCUGAAUGUACAUGCUAUAGUUGCAUUACAUACGGAUUUACUUGGAUUACAUUUGAAUAUACGGGAUUCAGCUGCAUUAUUGAAUAAUUUGACCUUAAUUUCUUUGAAUGACAAACCAAGACCCAGCAAGCAAGGCUAAAUAUGUCCCAUAUGGGCUGAAUCUGGACAAAAAGCCCAUAUGGGGCCCAUAUAGGACCCAUAUGUUUGAGAAUGCCCAGAUGGGACCCAGAUGGGACCCAUAUAGCUGCUCAUCUAUAUUAAUUGGAUACACAAAGGGAAACGAAGAUCAUUGUUAUAAUGAAAAUAUGUAAACAUCGAUACUAUGUGAAAAAAGUUCAUUAUUUCAUGAAUCGGCUUUACAUCUUUUGCCAUGAUAUGCCCCAGAUAGGUCCCAUAUGGGUCCCAUAUACUCGGCAUUAUCAUUAUAGUAGGGCAGUGUAGAUGGUGAGGCACGAUAUUGUGGCGAUGAUAUUUUUCCGUAUUUUCAUUUUUUAUUACUUCUCAAAUAUAAACCUUUUGCAAUUGUGUUUUUAGUAGAAAUUCAGUCACAAAAAGAAAUAAUUGUCACGUGACAUUUUAUCGACGCGCGGAUGAUGAACGUGAUUGAGUGAAAAUACAAUGGUUCAACUCAUCUUUAAAGAAAAGGUAAAGGUUCUUAUUUAACUUUUAAAGCAACUUGUAUUUAUAUUUAUAGUAAUUUGAUGUUAAACAAGUGAAUUACUGAUGACUUUCAUGUAGAAGUAUUGUUUGUGCUACGAUUUUGUAUUUUGUUAUAUAAUUUCGUGAUAAUAUAUAAAUUAUAAAGUAAAGGCAUUCGGGAUGGCAGAUGCCAAAACAAAACAAAACUAAAAGAAAUAUCGGCAAACAAAUGGUUAAUGCAGCUGUGGGGAACCUAUUUACAUAUAGACCUCCAAAGAGACUUUAACAUAUUCUUUUCUCAUGAAUGGAUUCUGACAAUCAUUAAUCUUUUAUCCAAUUUAAAAGUGCACCAAGCAUCGAGGCUGUACGAGGAUAUGAGCCAGGGUGAACAGCCUGCCACUGCUGCUAAUGGUGAUGAUGAGGAUGAUGGCCCUGUUACAGCCAAGACCAACACCCCCCAACAUUCCAGCUACCCGUUCAUUAUUCGAUGCUCGGUAGAGCAGAAUCCAAGAAGAUCGGGACACCUGGAUCUUUGUGAUUUUAGAAAACCAGCAGGAGCAAUUGCGACAGCAUACGCAGCCUGCUCCUGCGUUUCAUCCUGGCGAGAGGUUCAGCACAAGAUGCAGUUCCAAGUGAGUUGGCAGAGGGGGUAUCUUUCCCCUUCAAAACUGUGGUAGAUUUGGCAGCGUUCAAUGAGCGAAAGGCACAAGCGAAUGCUGCAACAUCCGUUGUAAAAUACUUUGCAGAAUAUGGUGGGAGUGACACAGUGAACACGGUUUCCCAGAUAAUGAAGACGGUGUUGACAACAAAUCUGGCCCGCCAAAACAACCUUAAGGAAACCAAACAAAAAAAGAAACUGUACAGACUCCACUUGAUAAACAUCUUGUUCAGAUGUCUACAAUUAAACCCAGCAACACGCUUUAGAACCGCAAGGAAAUGGAGGGGGCCAUUUAGAAGUGGCUUUCCGAGUCUCGAGGUCGUGAGGUUGGCCGCAAAGACCGAGCAAGGGUCACCCCGAUGCUUCCUGAGUAGAAUGUUGACUUAUUUACUUACCAAAAAAAUUCAGAUUUACGACUCAGAAUUAAACCAACAAAAAUUGUCAGAAUAUUUUUCAAAUUGAUUAUGUACAAUAUGUAUGCUUCUAUUGUUUUAUCAUAAACACAUCAAUGUCGUGUGACAUGUUAUGUAGUUUGUAUGCAAAAUGUAUCACGAUAAUGUAAUAAUGAGAUAUCUCCAACUUUUUCCCUAAAUUAUCAUAUCGUUAAGGGUUGCAAGAAGAGCAUUUCUUAUCUAUAUUUAUAGGCAAAUCCAUGUUGCUUUUACUUUUUUGUAUAAACAUAAGACAAACUGUCCAUGACAAAUGAGAGAACCAUCAACAAGACCAAUAUGUAUAGUUCACAUUUGGAUGAUUGUUCUAAAGAAGACUCUUAAAAAGCGAAACCUGUUGGCAUUGAAUAAUUAUCAUAAUAUCACGGAAUGAUGUCGGUUUUUGUUUUACUAUAAUAUUUUCUUAUCCUGGGUACACCAUUUUAAACUUUGAUACACUCACAAUAAACUUAUUUUAAGAUGAAGUAAGAAAUUUGGCUAUAUGAAAUAAGCUACUUAAGGGUGUUACGCUUAAGAACUUUCGAGAAAUUGGGGCCAGAUGACUUUAAUUAUAUCAACCCCAUUUAUUUCCCUUGUGAUAACAGUGAUCCCAGAUUUGUACAUGGUAGAUACAUUUUUUUAACCUAUGGAUUGGGUGUGUAUAUAUUAAUUAAUCCUUCUUGAUAUACAACAAUGAAUCAGGUCUAAAUGAUAAAAUUUUAUUAUGUAAAUAUUUGUUAUAACUUAUAUGCUGUUGCUCUUCUUUUGUUUAAUAUGUAUUUUGUAAUGUAACUCUUCAUACAUCGAGGAAAUAAGGAUAUAUAUGUUUUAACAUUCAGUCAUGUCAGUUCACUAGUCAGUAUUACAAGGUGCAUUAAUUGUGUUAGUCAAUAGCUGUGGUUUGUGUUUAAUUUUCUCUCCUUUUAAAUUCUUUUUUAUUUUGCAUGUAUGAUUUUUGUUAUUGAAUCCAAUGUGCCAAUUAACCUGAAACUGUUAUUUCAUUUCUGGUUUGAAACGCUGCUUUAUGUCUAAGCAAUAUUGUUAUACUUGAAUGUGUAGAUGCACUCCAUGCUCUGUUUAUAAGAGUUGUGCGUCUUUCGAUUUGUGUAUGUUUUUAAACACAUUCUUUAAAGCAUUCGGAGCUCCUCGGCCAUUUUUAUCGAAAACAACCUCGGAUGUAAGCCAUUACAUCAGUUGAAGUAGUUUGUAAAUUUCUUAAUUAUAUCAUUAAUUAGAUGUAGGGUUUUAGAGUUGUAUUUAUUGAUCUAAGUUUAAAUUGAUUGCCAGUGAAGUGUAUUAUUGCAAACAUAAUUAAGAUUCCCAAGAGUUAAGUCAUAAAGUUUAACUGCUAAAAAAUUUACUACGCGAUCUACUUGCAGCGGAAUUAAACGUUCCUCUUUUUGAGUAUGUAAACCGUCCAAAUACAUCAGAGGUUGUUUUCAAAAAUGGCCGAGGAGCUCCGAAUGUUGUUAAAGCCUUUAAAAAGUGUGUUUUGUUACAUGUAAUUUUUGACACGCUUUUUCAAUUUGACAGCUUUAACUGACAGAUACAAUCAAUAAAACAAAGUUUUCACUUAUCAUUAAGUUAUUAAUCAAAUAACCAUAUAAAUGUACUAGAUCUUUUUAGCUUGGUAUUGUCAAACCAAACUGAAAAAAUGUGUCAUAAUUUCAGUCACAUUUUUCUUGUGUGCCACUUAUAUUGCCAGUAUUACGCAAAAUCUAAACAUUGUCAGUAUGUAAUUUUUGUUGAC